UAUGUUAAUUUUAUUCAGAGUGUCAUAUUGGCAACAAAACGAGACAAAGAUCCUGAAAGCUCCAUACUUGUCAAAUACCAGCAACUAGCAAUUCAUACCAUAACAAGAUAUACUCAAUCAUACUCAAAUAAAUUAAAAACAAGAUCAACAAUCAGCAAAAAUAAAAACCAGCAAAAACACAACAACAAAUAAAUUAAAAACCAGCAACAAUCAGCAACAAUACCAGCAACUAGCAACAAUACCAACAAUAAAAUAAUUCAACAAAAGUAAUUUAACCAGCAAUCAGCAACAAUACACUGAUUUCAAAUCUGCUGCAAAUUUAA